rnacentral:rRNA from 1 species
GACGAACGCUGGCGGCGUGCCUAAUACAUGCAAGUUGAGCGCUGAAGGUUGGUACUUGUACCAACUGGAUGAGCAGCGAACGGGUGAGUAACGCGUGGGGAAUCUGCCUUUGAGCGGGGGACAACAUUUGGAAACGAAUGCUAAUACCGCAUAAAAACUUUAAACACAAGUUUUAAGUUUGAAAGAUGCAAUUGCAUCACUCAAAGAUGAUCCCGCGUUGUAUUAGCUAGUUGGUGAGGUAAAGGCUCACCAAGGCGAUGAUACAUAGCCGACCUGAGAGGGUGAUCGGCCACAUUGGGACUGAGACAUGGCCCAAACUCCUACGGGAGGCAGCAGUAGGGAAUCUUCGGCAAUGGACGAAAGUCUUACCGAGCAACGCCGCGUGAGUGAAGAAGGUUUUCGGAUCGUAAAACUCUGUUGGUAGAGAAGAACGUUGGUGAGAGUGGAAAGCUCAUCAAGUGACGGUAACUACCCAGAAAGGGACGGCUAAUUACGUG